CCUGUCUGCCUGCACGCUGCCAUGAAGAUAAUGACCUAAACCUCUGAAAGUGGGCCAAAGACAGAAGCUACCAACUCACCAGCUGUGUGAAUCUACAUCCCUGGAGUGUUAAUGUCAAGGCUGAAACAACAAGUGUUUGGUCACCGUGACAAGAAAACCAACUAAUGUGUGUGGUGAGCUAAAGACGGAAGCCAGGCUGGGACCCGGAAUGUCUCACAGCCAGGGGGCUAACCCUCAGGCCCAUGACAGCUCAUCUCUCCUAGAGUGCUUGGAUCACGCGUGGGUUGCCACACUCAUAUGGCACUUAGACGGGCUACAGGGAUUUGAACUCCAAUCCUCCGUCUUGUAUAGCAUAGCAAACAUUUGACCCUGAGCCAUGUUUCC